rnacentral:rRNA from 1 species
AUUUGGAGAGUUUGAUCCUGGCUCAGGACGAACGCUGGCGGCGUGCCUAAUACAUGCAAGUCGAGCGGAGCUUAUCCUUCGGGAUAAGCUUAGCGGCGGACGGGUGAGUAACACGUAGGCAA